AAUAAGUGCAGCCGUGGAUAUCCGUGCCCAACAUUUGACCGUCCGUCUUAUUUGAAAAAUUUGAAAAUAUUUAGUCACACAUAAAGUACUAUUUAUGUUUUAUCAUCUAAUAGCAAUAAAAAUACUAAUCAUAAAAAAAUUUCAAAUAAGACGAACGGUCAAACGUUGAACGUGAAUAGUGUAAAACUGCAUUUAUU
rnacentral:pre_miRNA from 1 species